rnacentral:rRNA from 1 species
UACGUAGGGUGCGAGCGUUAAUCGGAAUUACUGGGCGUAAAGCGUGCGCAGGCGGUUUUGUAAGCCAGAUGUGAAAGCCCCGGGCUCAACCUGGGAAUGGCAUUUGGGACUGCAAGGCUGGAGUUUGGCAGAGGAGACUGGAAUUCCCGGUGUAGCAGUGAAAUGCGUAGAUAUCGGGAGGAAUACCGAUGGCGAAGGCAGGUCUCUGGGCCGAUACUGACGCUGAGGAGCGAAAGCGUGGGGAGCGAACAGG